UUUUUUUUCUUUUGAGACAGAGUCUUGCUCUGUCACCCAUGCUAGAGUGCAGUGGUGUGAUCUCUGCUCACUGCAACCUCUGCUUCCUGGAUUCAAGCGAUUCUUCUGUCUCAGCCUCCCAAGUAGCUGGGAGUACAGCCUCCCACCACCACACCUGGCUAAUUUUUGUAGUUUUAGUAGAGAUGGGGUUUCGCCAUGGCGAGGCUGGUUUCGAAUUCCUGACUUCAGGUGAUCCACUCACCUCUGCCUCCCAAACUGCUGGGAUUACAGGCGUGAACCACCACGCCCAGCCUAAAAGUCUUGCUUCAUGUUUAUCAUGUGUUACAAAUGGCACCUGCUAAAAUAACCUUGGGGAAAACAAAUAAAGGCAUUUUGAAAGGGAUACUUUUUAAUCAUUGUCAUCAAUACCAGUAGAAAUGUGAUCUGCACUGGCUCAGAAAGUGACUUCUUCCCCACUACUUUUUCUUGUUUCUCCACAUGUUGCCUCCAUACACAAGUAGAACUUGUCAGGAGCUAUUGCAAAGCUCCACGACUUGGCACCUUUGCCCAUCAGCUGACAGAUAUUUUUAAAUGUUCGAUUUUUGAGGGCAAGGACUGGUGUGUCCUUUUCCAAUAGAGACCCAAGCAGUUGGUGUUCUUAGUAAGUAAGCCACUGGUAGUUAAUACCAUGUAUAAAUGGAUUGAUGGCAAUCUCCCCUUCUCUCCUCCCUCUUUCUUCUCCUCCUGAUGGCAUUCCUCAGUUUAACAGGCGUCAUCAUUGUCGCCGCUGUGGCCGGCUAGUGUGCAGCUCCUGCUCCACUAAGAAAAUGGUGGUUGAAGGCUGCAGAGAGAACCCUGCUCGUGUGUGUGAUCAGUGCUAUAGUUACUGCAACAAAGAUGUACCAGAGGAGCCUUCAGGAAAACCAGAAGCUCUAGACAGCUCCAAGAGUGAAAGCCCUCCAUACUCAUUUGUGGUGAGAGUCCCCAAAGCAGAUGAGGUGGAAUGGAUUUUGGAUCUCAAAGAGGAGGAAAAUGAGCUGGUGCGGAGUGAAUUUUACUAUGAGCAGGCCCCCAGCGCCUCCUUGUGCAUUGCCAUCCUGAAUCUGCACCGGGACAGCAUUGCCUGUGGUCACCAGCUGAUUGAGCACUGCUGCAGGCUCUCCAAGGGCCUCACCAACCCAGAGGUGGAUGCCGGGCUGCUCACAGACAUCAUGAAGCAGCUGCUGUUCAGCGCCAAGAUGAUGUUCGUCAAAGCCGGCCAGAGCCAAGACUUGGCUCUUUGUGACAGCUACAUCAGCAAGGUAGACGUGCUGAAUAUUUUAGUUGCUGCUGCCUAUCGCCACGUGCCAUCUUUGGAUCAGAUCUUGCAGCCAGCUGCGGUAACCAGGCUAAGGAACCAGCUUUUGGAAGCCGAGUACUACCAACUGGGCGUUGAGGUCUCCACAAAGACUGGGCUUGAUACCACCGGGGCAUGGCAUGCUUGGGGCAUGGCCUGCCUCAAAGCCGGGAACCUCACUGCUGCACGGGAGAAGUUUAGUCGCUGUCUGAAGCCCCCGUUUGACCUCAAUCAGCUGAAUCAUGGCUCAAGGCUGGUGCAGGAUGUGGUCGAGUACCUAGAGUCCACAGUGAGGCCCCUUGUAUCCUUGCAAGAUGACGAUUACUUUGCCACCCUGAGGGAACUGGAAGCUACCCUUCGGACGCAGAGCCUUUCUCUGGCAGUGAUUCCUGAAGGGAAAAUCAUGAACAACACCUACUACCAGGAAUGCCUCUUCUACCUGCACAACUAUAGCACCAACCUGGCCAUCAUCAGCUUCUAUGUGAGGCACAGCUGCCUGCGGGAAGCUCUUCUGCACCUUCUCAACAAGGAGAGUCCUCCAGAAGUUUUUAUAGAAGGCAUUUUCCAGCCAAGUUAUAAAAGUGGGAAGCUACACACUUUGGAGAACUUGCUAGAAUCCAUUGAUCCAACCUUGGAGAGCUGGGGAAAGUACUUGAUUGCUGCCUGCCAACAUUUACAGAAGAAGAACUACUACCACAUUCUGUAUGAGCUGCAGCAGUUUAUGAAGGACCAAGUUCGGGCCGCCAUGACCUGUAUUCGGUUCUUCAGUCACAAAGCAAAGUCAUAUACAGAACUGGGAGAGAAGCUCUCAUGGCUACUUAAGGCCAAGGACCACCUGAAGAUCUACCUCCAAGAAACAUCCCGCAGCUCUGGAAGGAAGAAAACCACAUUCUUCAGAAAGAAGAUGACUGCAGCUGAUGUGUCAAGGCACAUGAACACACUUCAGCUGCAGAUGGAAGUGACCAGGUUCUUGCAUCGGUGUGAAAGUGCUGGGACCUCUCAAAUCACCACUUUGCCUCUGCCAACCCUGUUUGGAAAUAACCACAUGAAAAUGGAUGUUGCCUGCAAGGUCAUGCUGGGAGGGAAAAAUGUAGAAGAUGGUUUUGGAAUUGCUUUCCGUGUUCUGCAGGACUUCCAGCUGGAUGCUGCCAUGACCUACUGCAGAGCUGCCCGCCAGUUGGUGGAGAAAGAGAAGUACAGUGAGAUCCAGCAACUGCUCAAAUGUGUCAGUGAGUCAGGCGUGGCAGCCAAAAGUGAUGGGGACACCAUCCUCCUCAACUGCCUGGAAGCGUUCAAGAGAAUUCCACCCCAGGAGCUGGAGGGCCUGAUCCAGGCAAUACACAAUGAUGACAACAAGAUAGUGCCAAUCUUGGCAGCAUUGAGGGACAGAGUUCACACCGAAGAGAGAGGACAGUCCCCUAGCACUUUGUGCUAAUUGGUAUUAAAAAAUUCAUGAAUCAAGUGAGCCAAAAGCUUAAAGAAGGAGAAAAAGGAUCCAGGGGGCCUGCUAACAUUUUCUCCAUGGCAUAAUCAACAGCGACAGUCUUCUUUAAAAGCUUUCAGAAAGCUGCGAAGUUUACAUGGUAAAUAAAGCGGCACACGGGUAUAAAAUAGAGCUAGAAAAGCAACUCUUCCCAACACAUAAGUUUGUACCGUAAGUUUCCUUAACAAAGCAACGGCAUUCUGUUUGCAGGCCCAACCCAAACCUGGAUUGCAUCAUCAGGCACAAACUCAGCUGCUCACGAUGCACAGCCCAGCGAGUCCGGCACCUCCCAUGCACACAGGUAGUGGAGAGAACCGCACUGCCUUCACACACCUGAAGUACUUGCCACUCAGGGGCUCCAGGCCCUCAGCCAGGGCGCAGUGCAGGCUGGUCUGCGCCCCCUCCCGUGCCGUCUUGACAAAGGGGGAGAAGAGCCGCCAGAGCAGGCAGAGCAGGGAGGAGUGCCGGACCAGCUCAGAGCGGACGACGCCUGGGUGCACUGCGCAUUCUGGAAGUAAAGAUCAUUGUUCCCAAACUCUGGCUUAUUCACUGUAACAAAUGGGCCCCUAGAUCCGCAGAUGUCAGAGCCAGCAGCUCACCCAAUGCUCCAGGAGAGCACAGAAUCAUUAAGGAAUAAGAACUGGCCUGACCUGAUUUUACAGCUGAGAAGAUGAAGUCAGGGGAGGUUAAAGGGGCACGUCCACAUCCACAUGGGGCUAGCAUGUGGUAGAGCAAGAACUUGGACCCAGGGGUCUGAAAUCCAGCCCUAACUCCCUGAGUCCAGGCAGUGGCAGCUCUGUAGCUCAGAUCACCAUGUGGACCUCAGCAAAUGGCACCCAGAAGGAAGCACCCUAGGUUUAAAGCUGAGCAGCCACAUUCCGGUUCUGAUGCCCUCACCUGCCAUAUACUCUUUAGCUGGCCAUUUCCUUGGACCUCAGUUCUGCUCUAUAAACUAGGAGUAAUAAUACCUGUUACCAAAGGCCUCUGCUGCCAGAUCACCUGAGGUCAGGAGUUUGAGACCAACCUGGACAACAUGGUGAAAUCUCAUCUCUUCUAAAAAUACAAAAUUAGCCAGGCGUGAUAUUGCGUGCUUGUAAUCCCAACUACUCAAGAGGCUGAUGCAGGAGAAUCACUUGAACCCAGGAGGCAGAGGUCGCAGUGAGCCAAGAUCGCAUUAAUGCACCCCAGCCCGGGCUACAAGAGCGAAACUCAAGUCUCAAAAAAAAAACAAAACAAAACAAACAAAAAAACAAAACAAAACAAACAAAAAAACAAAAAGCCUCUGCCUGUUGCAAAAAGCUAUUGUGAAAAUCAAAUGAGAUGAGAGAUAAGAUGUGACAUAAAUACAAGGUAACUUUAUGAGGUUCUUAACCCC
rnacentral:sRNA from 1 species